GACGAACGCUGGCGGCGUGCUUAACACAUGCAAGUCGAACGGAAAGGCCCUGCUUUUGUGGGGUGCUCGAGUGGCGAACGGGUGAGUAACACGUGAGUAACCUGCCCUUGACUUUGGGAUAACUUCAGGAAACUGGGGCUAAUACCGGAUAGGAGCUCCUGCUGCAUGGUUGGGGUUGGAAAGUUUCGGCGGUUGGGGAUGGACUCGCGGCUUAUCAGCUUGUUGGUGGGGUAGUGGCUUACCAAGGCUUUGACGGGUAGCCGGCCUGCGAGGGUGACCGGCCACAUUGGGACUGAGAUACGGCCCAGACUCCUACGGGAGGCAGCAGUGGGGAAUAUUGCACAAUGGGCGGAAGCCUGAUGCAGCAACGCCGCGUGCGGGAUGACGGCCUUCGGGUUGUAAACCGCUUUCGCCUGUGACGAAGCGUGAGUGACGGUAAUGGGUGAAGAAGCACCGGCUAACUACGUG
rnacentral:rRNA from 1 species